GAUGAACGCUGGCGGCGUGCCUAAUACAUGCAAGUCGAGCGAACAGACGAGGAGCUUGCUCCUCUGACGUUAGCGGCGGACGGGUGAGUAACACGUGGAUAACCUACCUAUAAGACUGGGAUAACUUCGGGAAACCGGAGCUAAUACCGGAUAAUAUAUUGAACCGCAUGGUUCAAUAGUGAAAGACGGUUUUGCUGUCACUUAUAGAUGGAUCCGCGCCGCAUUAGCUAGUUGGUAAGGUAACGGCUUACCAAGGCGACGAUGCGUAGCCGGCCUGAGAGGGUGAUCGGCCACACUGGAAGUGAGACACGGUCCAGACUCCUACGGGAGGCAGCAGUAGGGAAUCUUCCGCAAUGGGCGAAAGCCUGACGGAGCAACGCCGCGUGAGUGAUGAAGGUCUUCGGAUCGUAAAACUCUGUUAUUAGGGAAGAACAAAUGUGUAAGUAACUAUGCACGUCUUGACGGUACCUAAUCAGAAAGCCACGGCUAACUACGUG
rnacentral:rRNA from 1 species